CCCAGAGCUGUUACUCUAUUCUCGCCCAAACCUUCAAGUCGCCCAAGGUAUUAACAAACAUAACGCGUUGUGGUUAUCAAGAAGUGCAGUUAUUAAAGUAGCCCUAUCACGUUCCGCGAUUUAAGGAAUUCAAUCGAAAGCAGUUGAACGAUGAAGGGUAAUGACAGCAGUUAAAAGGCAGUUUUCAUGACAAGGUGGCCAUUACGAAGAAAGUGGGUAGUUAUAGGACGAUCAAGCAGUUUUUAGAGUAGUUAAUCACAAAGAGAUAGUCUAUGAAGUAUAAAAGGGAGAAAGGACAUAGAAGCAAAGGACCGAAUCCAAAACUCUCGAAUAGAGAACUUGUAAUUUUCAUUUCCUUAGUUUUUAGACUUAAACACUUUUCUUUCAGUAACUCGUGUGCUUGUGCCCCUUGGAGGCACGUUGUUUUUCAUUUCCAAUUGUAAAGUCAUCGCCAAUAAAAGAACACCCCUUUUUGGGACUUUGUCUCAAGAGGUUUGUCCCUUACACAAUCGUCUAAUCCUUUUUAAUUGUUAGCGACUAACCCGCGCGAAACAAUUUGACACACCCAGUGGGACAGUGGUGUUAGGUGUUGAAAGUACAAAAGGGGAAAC
rnacentral:lncRNA from 1 species